UACGUAGGGUGCAAGCGUUGUCCGGAAUUAUUGGGCGUAAAGAGCUCGUAGGCGGUCUGUCGCGUCGGCUGUGAAAGUCCGGGGCUCAACUCCGGAUCUGCGGUGGGUACGGGCAGACUAGAGUGAUGUAGGGGAGACUGGAAUUCCUGGUGUAGCGGUGAAAUGACGCAGAUAUCAGGAGGAACACCGGUGGCGAAGGCGGUUCUCUGGGCAUUACCUGACGCUGAGGAGCGAAAGUGUGGGGAGGCGAACAGG
rnacentral:rRNA from 1 species